GCCUCUAUAUCUCAGUGGUAGAGCACUGGUCUCGUAAACCAGGGGUCUAGAGUUCAAUCCUCACUGGAGGCA
rnacentral:tRNA from 1 species